UACGUAGGUGGCAAGCGUUAUCCGGAAUUAUUGGGCGUAAAGAGCGCGCAGGUGGUUGAUUAAGUCUGAUGUGAAAGCCCACGGCUUAACCGUGGAGGGUCAUUGGAAACUGGUCGACUUGAGUGCAGAAGAGGGAAGUGGAAUUCCAUGUGUAGCGGUGAAAUGCGUAGAGAUAUGGAGGAACACCAGUGGCGAAGGCGGCUUCCUGGUCUGUAACUGACACUGAGGCGCGAGAGCGUGGGGAGCAAACAGGAUUAGAUA
rnacentral:rRNA from 1 species